rnacentral:lncRNA from 1 species
ACCAAAUCUUCAAAGUUGUAGUUCACAUUAUCAUAUCAUUAUUCAUUUCCCAUUACAUUAUAUUUAAGUAUUACGAGGUCGGGACAGGGUUAUUUUUUGUAAACCUAUGUGUCAUUUAGUCACGUCUGUUCGUAUGGUUUAGCCAAAACAUCCAACUAAAUCGUUAUAUAUGAUAACUUUUAAGCAGCCAUCUGUUUUACAAUAGAUAAAAUCUCUCAGUUUUGCGUGUCUUCAUUACCCCAACUAGCAUCCCAUGAUUUUCAUUUGUCAGAGAAAAAAAUUAUUGAAAGAUAUAAGAAUCAGCUUCC